rnacentral:lncRNA from 10 species
AGCAUAAGCUCCAUGAGGUCAGGGACUGUUCCUGUAUGCUUAUCCUUUUAUUUUCACUGCCUAUCAGAGUGCCUGCUACAUAUGGCACAGGUAGCACUUGGCUUUAUUGACACACUGCUGAAGAGGACACAACUUCCUGAAGAAAAAGAGAGGCUAAAGAGAGUUUGUAGAUAAAUACUGCUUUUCAAUCUGAAUAAAAUUGCAUGAAGACUUGGAACAUACAUACUUAAAGGAAGUGUCUCUCUCCAUCACCCAGGCUGGAAUGCAGUGGCACAGUCAUAGCCUCAAACUCCUGAGCUUCAGAAAUCAUCCCCACUCAGCCUCAUGAAUAGCUGGAACUGCAGGUGAG